UUCUGCUCCUAAAUCCCUGAAAAUCAAAGUUCCCAAAAUUCCCAAUCCUAAAAUUCCCAAAAUUCCAUCCCAAAAUCCCUCCCAGAAUUCCCAAAAUUCCAUCCCAAAAUCCCCGAAAAAUUCCCAAAAUUCCAUCCCAAAAUCCCCCCAAGAAUUCCCAAAAUUCCAUCCCAAAAUCCCUCUAAGAAUUCCAAAAAUUCCAUCCCAAAAUCCCUCCCAGAAUUCCCAAAAUUCCAUCCCAAAAUCCCCGAAAAAUUCCCAAAAUUCCAUCCCAAAAUCCCCCCAAGAAUUCCCAAAAUUCCAUCCCAAAAUCCCCCCAAGAAUUCCCAAAAUUCCCUCCCACAAUUCCCAAAAUUCCAUCCCAAAAUCCAUGAAAAAUUCCCAAAAUUCCAUCCCAAAUUCCCCCUAAGAAUUCCCAAAAUUCCAUCCCAAAAUCCCAAAAAAAUUCCCAAAAUUUCAUCCCAAAACCCCCCAAGAAUUCCCAAAAUUCCAUCCCAAAAUCCCUCCAAAAAUUCCCAAAAUUCCAUCCCAACAUCCCCGAAAAAUUCCCAAAAUUCCAUCCCAAAUUCCCCCUAAGAAUUCCCAAAAUUCCAUCCCAAAAUCCCUCCCAGGAUUCCCAAAAUUCCAUCCCAAAAAUCCCAAAAAUCCCAAAAUUCCCAAAAAUCUCAAAAUUCCCAGAAUCCAACCCCAAAUUCCUCUCCCAAAUCCCCAAAUCCCUUCCCAAAAUUCCAAUUCCCCAAAAAUCCCAAAAUCCCAAAUUCCCAAACUCCCACAAAUCCUCUCCAAAAUCCAACCCCAGAAUUCCAAAAAUCCAAUCCCAGAACCCCAAAAAUCCCAAAAUUCAACCCCAGAAUUCCAAAACUCCUCUCCAAAAUUCCCUCCCAAAAUUCCAAAAAUUCCAACCCCAAAAUUCCCAAAAUUCCAACCCCAAAAUCCCAAAAUUCCAACCCCAAAACCCCACUCACACAAUUCCCAAAAUGUCACCCCCGAAAACUCCCAAAAUUCCUCUCGGAAAUUCCAAAUAUUGACUUUAAAACCCCCAAAUUCUGCCCCAAAACCCCCAAAAAUCCCCUCCAAACCCCCCAAACCCCAUUCCCAAAUUUUCUGGAAUUCCCAGAAUUCCCAAAAUUCCCAGAAAUUUCCGGAAUUUCCCCUCACUCCGCCCAUGUCAGGCAUUCCCAGAGCAGCCAUUCCUGCCCCAGCCUGGGAACCCCAGAAUUCCCAAAAUUCCCAAAAUCCCAAAUAUCCAAUCCCAAAAUUCCCAAAUCUCAAGCCCAGAAUUCCCAAAAUUCAGUCCCAAAAAUUCCGUCCC
rnacentral:lncRNA from 1 species